rnacentral:rRNA from 1 species
AGCAGCCGCGGUAAUUCCAGCUCCAAUAGCGUAUAUUAAAGUUGCUGCAGUUAAAAAGCUCGUAGUUGAAUUUCGGGACUAAUAUGUUGGUCGUGCCUCGGUACGUACUGAUAUUUUUGGUUUCUCCCUUCUGACGAACCUGAUGUCAUUAAUUUGGUGUCUUGGGAAAUCAGGACUGUUACUUUGAAAAAAUUAGAGUGUUUAAAGCGGCAUUAGCUUGAAUACAUUAGCAUGGAAUAAUGAAAUAGGACGUUUGAUCCUAUUUUGUUGGUUUCUAGGAUCGACGUAAUGAUUAAUAGGGAUAGUUGGGGGCAUUAGUAUUCAGUUGUCAGAGGUGAAAUUCUUGGAUUUAUUGAAGACUAACUACUGCGAAAGCAUUUGCCAAGGAUGUUUUCAUUAAUCAAGAACGAAAGUUAGGGGAUCGAAGACGAUCAGAUACCGUCGUAGUCUUAACCAUAAACUAUGCCGACUAGGGAUCGGAUGAUGUUAAUUUUUUAAUGACUCAUUCGGCGCCUUACGG